AGAGUUUGAUCAUGGCUCAGAGCGAACGCUGGCGGCAGGCUUAACACAUGCAAGUCGAGCGGGCGUAGCAAUACGUCAGCGGCAGACGGGUGAGUAACGCGUGGGAACAUACCUUUUGGUUCGGAACAACACAGGGAAACUUGUGCUAAUACCGGAUAAGCCCUUACGGGGAAAGAUUUAUCGCCGAAAGAUUGGCCCGCGUCUGAUUAGCUAGUUGGUGAGGUAAUGGCUCACCAAGGCGACGAUCAGUAGCUGGUCUGAGAGGAUGAUCAGCCACAUUGGGACUGAGACACGGCCCAAACUCCUACGGGAGGCAGCAGUGGGGAAUAUUGGACAAUGGGGGCAACCCUGAUCCAGCCAUGCCGCGUGAGUGAUGAAGGCCCUAGGGUUGUAAAGCUCUUUUGUGCGGGAAGAUAAUGACGGUACCGCAAGAAUAAGCCCCGGCUAACUUCGUGCCAGCAGCCGCGGUAAUACGAAGGGGGCUAGCGUUGCUCGGAAUCACUGGGCGUAAAGGGUGCGUAGGCGGGUUUUUAAGUCAGGGGUGAAAUCCUGGAGCUCAACUCCAGAACUGCCUUUGAUACUGAAGAUCUUGAGUCCGGGAGAGGUGAGUGGAACUGCGAGUGUAGAGGUGAAAUUCGUAGAUAUUCGCAAGAACACCAGUGGCGAAGGCGGCUCACUGGCCCGGUACUGACGCUGAGGCACGAAAGCGUGGGGAGCAAACAGGAUUAGAUACCCUAGUAGUCC
rnacentral:rRNA from 1 species